rnacentral:rRNA from 1 species
CCUACGGGAGGCAGCAGUGAGGAAUAUUGGUCAAUGGCCGGAAGGCUGAACCAGCCAUGCCGCGUGACGGUCAGUGCCCUAUGGGCGUUAAACUUCUUUUGUGCGGGAGCAAUAAUGGUCACGUGUGGCCAGACGAGAGUACCGUACGAAUAAGCAUCGGCUAACUCCGUGCCAGCAGCCGCGGUAAUACGGGGGAUGCAAGCGUUAUCCGGAUUUAUUGGGUUUAAAGGGUGCGUAGGCUGUGAGGUAAGUCAGCGGUGAAAUGCCCCCGCUCAACGGGGUGAAGUGCCAUUGAUACUGCCUGGCUGGAAUGCGGAUGCCGUGGGAGGAAUGUGUGGUGUAGCGGUGAAAUGCAUAGAUAUCACACAGAACACCGAUUGCGAAGGCAUCUCACGAAUCCGCGAUUGACGCUGAUGCACGAAAGCGUGGGUAUCAAACAGGAUUAGAUACCCGUGUAGUC